UACGUAGGGAGCAAGCGUUGUCCGGAAUCAUUGGGCGUAAAGCGCGCGUAGGCGGCCCGAUAAGUUCGCUGUAAAAGUCAACGGCUCAACUGUUGAAAGCCGGUGGAUACUGUCGGGCUAGAGUACGGAAGAGGCAAGUGGAAUUCCUGGUGUAGCGGUGAAAUGCGCAGAUAUCAGGAGGAACACCGGUGGCGAAGGCGGUUCUCUGGGCCUUACCUGACGCUGAGGCACGAAGGCCAGGGGAGCAAACGGG
rnacentral:rRNA from 1 species